GGCCGACUAGCUCAGUUGGUUAGAGCGUCGUGCUAAUAUCAUACUGUUAACGCGAAGGUCUUGGGUUCGAUCCCCACGUUGGCCA
rnacentral:tRNA from 1 species